rnacentral:rRNA from 1 species
GACGAACGCUGGCGGUGUGCCUAAUACAUGCAAGUCGAGCGAAUCGAUGGGAGCUUGCUCCCUGAGAUUAGCGGCGGACGGGUGAGUAACACGUGGGUAACCUGCCUGUAAGACUGGGAUAACUUCGGGAAACCGGAGCUAAUACCGGAUACUUUCUUUUCUCGCAUGAGGGAAGAUGGAAAGAUGGUUCUGCUAUCACUUACAGAUGGACCCGCGGCGCAUUAGCUGGUUGGUGAGGUAACGGCUCAACAAGGCAACGAUGCGUAGCCGACCUGAGAGGGUGAGCGACCACACUGGGACUGAGACACGGCCCAGACUCCUACGGGAGGCAGCAGUAGGGAAUCUUCCGCAAUGGACGAAAGUCUGACGGAGCAACGCCGCGUGAGCGAAGAAGGCCUUCGGGUCGUAAAGCUCUGUUGUUAGGGAAGAUCAAGUACGAGAGUAACUGCUCGUACCUUGACGGUACCUAACCAGAAAGCCACGGCUAACUACGUGCCAGCCGCCGCGGUAAUAC